AUUGAACGCUGGCGGCAUGCCUUACACAUGCAAGUCGAACGGUAGAGGGGCAACCCUCGAGAGUGGCGAACGGGUGAGUAAUGCAUCGGAACGUGCCCAGUAGUGGGGGAUAGCCCGGCGAAAGCCGGAUUAAUACCGCAUACGACCUACGGGUGAAAGCGGGGGAUCGCAAGACCUCGCGCUAUUGUAGCGGCCGAUGUCAGAUUAGGUAGUUGGUGGGGUAAAAGCCUACCAAGCCGACGAUCUGUAGCUGGUCUGAGAGGACGACCAGCCACACUGGGACUGAGACACGGCCCAGACUCCUACGGGAGGCAGCAGUGGGGAAUUUUGGACAAUGGGCGAAAGCCUGAUCCAGCCGUGCCGCGUGCGGGAAGAAGGCCUUCGGGUUGUAAACCGCUUUUGUCAGGAAAGAAAUCCUCUGGGCUAAUACCCCGGGGGGAUGACGGUACCUGAAGAAUAAGCACCGGCUAACUACGUGCCAGCAGCCGCCGUAACAC
rnacentral:rRNA from 1 species